rnacentral:rRNA from 1 species
UACGGGGGGGGCAAGCGUUGUUCGGAAUUACUGGGCGUAAAGGGCUCGUAGGUGGCCAACUAAGUCAGACGUGAAAUCCCUCGGCUUAACCGGGGAACUGCGUCUGAUACUGGAUGGCUUGAGGUUGGGAGAGGGAUGCGGAAUUCCAGGUGUAGCGGUGAAAUGCGUAGAUAUCUGGAGGAACACCGGUGGCGAAGGCGGCAUCCUGGACCAACACUGACACUGAGGAGCGAAAGCGUGGGGAGCGAACAGG